rnacentral:lncRNA from 1 species
ACCAAUCUCUGCCCUCAAGGACUACAGAGAAAUGUGAUAGGACUAGGUAGGAGACACCCCUCUAUUUGGUUACUCGAGUUUGGAACCUGCAAAAGCUGUAGAAGAUGCCAUGGCCAACAGGUCACGAACGAGAAGACUCCUGAGACAUGGCACAGAAGGGUAUGACAUGAAUCAUUGAAGGGAAAGAAGGGAACAAUGGUCCUUCUGUAUCAUCCCCAAGGAAGAAUGAGAAAAAGACAAAGCCUCUAGAAAAGAGAGGAAGGUUGUGAAAUGAAUUCAUUCUUCAUUCUGGAAGAACUGGAGAAAAUGCAGUGUGUGAGGUGAUCCAGAGGCUAGACAGAUAUGAGUCAGCUAGGGAAAUAAAAGGAAAGGGAUGACUAAGCA